CCCCUGUCAGCAAGCCCCUGGGCGGUCAACUCCAGAAGCAGAUAGCAGAGAGGAGCCGCAAGGGAGUGCCCAGAUCUGGAGGAGUACAUACACCAGAGCUUAAGCACCGCACAGGGGUGAGUGGGCCCUCCCUUGGGCCGUCGGCGGCUAGCCGGAGCCGGGGGGAGGGGAGUGGAGAAGAUGGAGAUUGUGGCCACGACUUUUGUUGGUCGGAUCGCACUGAAGCUCUUCGCGUUUCUAGAUGAAAAUUACAGGCUACGGCGGAACCUGGAGCAUGACAUCCAGCGCAUCCGGAUGGAGCUGGACAUGAUCGACGCCGCCAUCCACGACCACGACGACCGUCGCUCGAGCAACCAGGUGCAGACCGCCUGGAUACAGCUCGCGCGCGAGCUGGGCCACAGCAUCGACGACUGCAUCGACCGCUUUUAGGUUCGGGGAAGACUCUUCUUGCGAGAGAGGUGUACGAGAGUGACACCGUGGUCUGCCAGUACAAAGCACGGGCUUGGGUUCGUGCGGCGGACAAAGGCGCGGUGUGUGUUCUCCAGGAGAUCCUCGAGGAGCUUGGCAUGCAGGUAACCGGGGAUGCCAGGAAGCUCACCACACAUCUCAGAAAAUGCCUCGAGCCAAAGGGGUUCUUCAUUGUUAUUGAUGACAUGAGAACGGAACUUUGGAACACCAUGAAAAAUUCUUUCCCUGCAGUGAUGGGAGUGAGCAGCAGAGUGGUGGUCACCACGCCCAUUCAGUACAUAGCAAAUGCCUGCAGCUCUGCUCACGGUCAUGUGUACGCAAUGAGAACUCUUAGCGAGGAUCUCUCAAGACAGUUGUUCCUCAAAGAAGCUUCCUUGGAGGAUUCAUCGCCUAGUAAUGAGCUUGGUUCAGAAGCACUAAAGAAAUGCGAUGGUCUGCCACUCGCUCUCGUUACCACAGCCCAAUUCUUGCAGAGUCGAGGUGAUCCGACACGGACAGAGUGGGCAAGGCUGUGCAGCAACUUGGGUGAACAUCUGGAAACGGAGGACACCUUAGCGAGAAUGAAGCACGUGGUUCGCCACAGCUAUGCCGGUCUUCCUGACCAUUUUAUCAAGACAUUCUUGCUAUAUCUGGGAAUUUUCCCGCGUGAUCGCCCAGUGAGAAGAGAAAGGCUAAUAAGGCGAUGGCUAGCUGAAGGAUUAUUUGGAGGGGAUGCUGAACUCGCUACGUGCUAUUUCAAGAAGCUGAUCGACCACAGUAUCAUUCGGCCUAUUGAUUGGAGCAGCAACGCAGAGGUGAAGACGUGCCAAACUCACGGCAUGAUGCUCGAGUUCAUCCUACACAAGUCCAGAUGUGAGAACUUCGUUACCUUGUCACAUGAUCAGGCACGCCUAACCGGUAAGGCCCGUUGGCUUUCUCUGCAUCAUGAAAGAGCUGGGCAGGCUAGGAUGAGUCCAGAGGAUUUACCCUUUGUUCGGUCUCUAACAGUCUUUGGCAAGGCACACAAAUCUGUUUUGGAUUUCUCCAAGUACGAACUGCUGCGAGUUUUGGAUCUGGAAGAAUGUGAGGAUGAAUUGGGUGACAAGCAUCUCAGAGAGAUAUGCAACCUACUGCUACUUAGGUACCUAAGCCUUGGUGGCCCCAUUUCAGUGCUUCCCAAGGAGAUUGCAAAGCUAAAACUUUUGGAGACACUUGAUAUAACAAGAACCAAGAUAGAGAUUCUGCCUAUACAAGUCAUCGAGCUCCCGAGAUUGAUUCAUCUGUUUGGAAGGUUCAAACUUGAAGAUGCAAGUCAGAGAAUAAGUAAGCUGAAGAACUUCCUUUCAGAAAAAAGUAACUUGCAGACGCUAUCAGGAUUUGUUGCUGACAAAGGAUUUGCACAACUCAUGGAUCAUAUGAAUAACUUGACAAAGGUGAAAAUAUGCUGUGAAUCCACUAUGGAUGUCAGCAACAUAACUCAUCUUUCCAAGUCAAUUAACGGGUUCAUCCAGAGAGGCACUCAUGCGAGUGACAAGUGUUCACUCUCACUGAAUUUCAACAAAUGGUCCGAAGACUUGCUGAGUUUUUCCUUGGAAAAAACAUGCUUUCUCAGUAAACUGAAGCUAAAAGGCAACAUCUUGAGUUUACCUCCAUUUGUUACCACGUUGGCUGGUCUCACCGAGCUGUCUCUUUCAUCCCUCGGCAAGUUCACUGGGGAUAUACUUGCUGCUGUAAGCAUAGUGCGCUCCUUGCAGUACCUGAAGCUGGUAGCAAGUCACAUGGACAAGUUUGUCAUAAGAAAGGGGCAGCUCAAUAUACUACUACGCCUGUGCAUCGUGGUGCAAUCCAUGGAAGACCUAGAAAUCGAAGAGGAUGCGCUUCCGUGUUUGGAGUCCCUCCAGCUGCUCUCUAAGGAUUUAGAUGGUUUUGGUGGCAUAAGAAUGGAAUUCCUUGGACGUCUCAAGGAGGUGGCUCUCGACGAUGGAGUGAGCGACGAAGCAAAACAGGAGUGGGAAGAAGCAGCAAAGAAACACCCGAGACGACCCAAAGUCUUGUUUGUGAAAACAAUGUGAGUCAGAAGCUGAUCAUCAGAUGCAGACGGGAGGAAUGGAGCCUGCUGAGACUCCUGCAACACUAGCUCCCCGACAUGACGCCCAGGUGCACCUGCUUAACCAGGGAGCUGAGCAGACUGUGGCACAGGUGCAGCCAACUCCCAACCCCAUACUUGUUCGUGGCCAGUGAGGCACAAGUUCGGAGUGUUCGGUCACUUACUCCUUUUGGAUUUAUUUGAGAAUCGAGAGUAUGCCUUCUAUUUCGGCAGCAUAAGGUUCGUUGGCAAGCUAAACAACCUGCGAUAUCUUCAUCUGACCUGUUCUGUACCAUCUUCAGACCAUCUGAAGAGAAGCAUGGAAGCUCUGGGCUCUCUACUCUCAGAACAUGGCAACCUAAAAACUCUAGCUCUGGUUAAUGACCCAUGUCAUAGAAAUGUUGUGGUUCGCAGUGCUUGAAAGUGGCUGUCUCCUGGGAUGGCUUAGUACCUCCCCCACUUCUCAAGGUGUUUGAUUGGUCGCUACACAGCGGUAUACUGUCUUGUAUUCUGAAGUGGAUAGGAAAACUUGGGAAGCACCGCAUUUUGAAGAUUGCAGUAAGGGAACUUCCGAGGGAUGGUAUUGCUGCUCUCACCGCUCUAUCCUUGUAUUUGCAUACGGCUACUGUUGAAAGGAUUGUCUUUGACAAGGUGGGAUUCUGAAUUCUCAACUUCGUGAAGCUCAGGCGCAGUCGGCGAACGCAAUGCCUAAUCUCUGGAAGCUCAAGCCAGGUUCAAUGCCCUGGUGGUUUCAUCCGCAUGGCACUAGUGUUAUGAUGUGAUUUAAUGACCAACUUCAUUGUUGUGCAAUGCCCUCAUGGUCUGGGUUGUUUUGACUAUGUAUUGUCUGUAAGGCCUGUUUUGCAAUAUGUGAGCUUUAAAUUUCUUCGUGAUAUGGAAGGACUGUUCCUUUUAAUCCUUUUCUAUUUCAG
rnacentral:rRNA from 1 species